rnacentral:RNase_P_RNA from 1 species
UCAGUAAGUCGGUCUAUCGCUUCAAAGUAAGAGGAAAGUCCGGGCAAUAUAGAGCACCAUGCUUCCUAACGGGAAGAUCGCCGCGAGGUGAUAGUAGCGUAACAGAAAAUUACCGCCACUUAUGUGGUAAGGGUGAAAAGGCGAGGUAAGAGCUCACCGAACGCUUGGCGACAAGAGUUGCAAUACGCCUGAUGGAUUGUAAGACCAUGUAUAUUUCGAAGCUUAGCUACACAGCUGCUCGUUGUGGUUGCCUUCGGGCAAGUCGGAAGGGGUAGGUCGCUGGAGGUCGUGGGUGACUGCGAUCCGAGAUAAAUGAUAGACGCUCUUUCGGGAGUACAGAACUCGGCUUAUAGACGGACUGAUAUU